rnacentral:rRNA from 1 species
CACCUGGGGAGUGCGGCCGCAAGGUUAAAACUCAAAUGAAUUGACGGGGGCCCGCACAAGCGGUGGAGCAUGUGGUUUAAUUCGACGCAACGCGAAGAACCUUACCUGGCCUUGACAUCCAGAGAGCUUUCCAGAGAUGGAUUGGUGCCUUCGGGAACUCUGGGACAGGUGCUGCAUGGCCGUCGUCAGCUCGUGUCGUGAGAUGUUGGGUUAAGUCCCGUAACGAGCGCAACCCCUAUCCCUGGUUGCUAGCAGGUAAUGCUGAGAACUCCAGGGAGACUGCCGGUGACAAACCGGAGGAAGGUGGGGAUGACGUCAGGUCAUCAUGGCCCUUACGGCCAGGGCUACACACGUGCUACAAUGGCGCGUACAGAGGGCUACCAACUCGCGAGAGUGAGCCAAUCCCUUAAAACGCGUCGUAGUCCGGAUCGGAGUCUGCAACUCGACUCCGUGAAGUCGGAAUCGCUAGUAAUCGCGAAUCAGAAUGUCGCGGUGAAUACGUUCCCGGGCCUUGUACACACCGCCCGUCACACCAUGGGAGUGGAUCGCACCAGAAGUAGUUAGUCUAACCUUCGGGAGGACGAUUACCACGGUGUGGUUCAUGACUGGGGUGAAGUCGUAACAAGGUAACCGUA